ACGACCUGAGCAGCAUCAGCAAAACACAGCGGGGGCUUGCUCGCUGGCUCUCACAUACUUUAUUAACCAUUUCCCCGUCACAGAGAACAUAGUCGUGGCCUAGAAAGCUUCCUCUAGACUGUGUCUGUGACAGGUUUUUAGGGCUUAGUCUUUAGACAAUUAAAACCUGAAUCCUCUGGGACACCAUUUGUCAACCUUUUGAAAAAAAACCUAAUGUAAAAAAAUAUCUUAAUCGUAAUCUUCUAACCAACCCCCAAAAGUUUGGAAAAGUUGGGUUUGGAUGUUCCUUUGGAUGUUUGUCUUCUCUAGAAGCGACUGGACUUUGAGGGGUUAAGAGAAGGCCAACGGAGAGUCAAUUAAAAAGGAAAAUAUAAUUAGCGCCACCAUUUCUUUUGUCUGUUUUUGAGCUGUUAGUGCGUAGAAAAGUCACCAGGAGACAGCUACUUCAGUCAGCAGUCAAUUAGCUGCAGUCUGGCCUUUCUAGUGUUAAUGAAGUAGACAUCGGCCCAAUUAGAGAAUGCACACGAAUGACAGUUUGUAAUGCUUGUUUUCUCAGAAACAGCCAUUAUCCCCCACAUGUUAGCUGUUUAAAAUGAGCAACUGCAAGGCCUCUCUUUACGGGAGAAAAUCUGAUCAGCGUUUGGGGGGAGGCUGGGGUUCGUUUGUGUGCUUUGGGGUCAGUGACGUAAAGAGUUUGCAGAAGCUUUUGGAGUCAGACAUGUUUAUCUGCUUUGUGUAUAGAGACUGUAUCUAAGAUACACAGUUGGGCUGCUCAGGCAGCUCUGAGAAUGUUAUACUCACUUUGAGAUGGGAUAAAAGUCUUGUGAACAAAGAGUAUCAAGUUAACAUGUAAAAUUCUGAAGUGAAUACUUUUUUUUUUUUUUUUUUUCUUUUGGACCGUGAGCAGCUUUCUUUUCUGGUCCAAGUCUUUGCACCCUCCCUCAGUUUUUUAUUCCCCCUCUGAGCCAUGAAGCCCUGGUGUCCAGGUCUGCUUGCUCCCAGGUUGAGGUAGUAGGUUGUAUAGUUGAGAAUUACACCCCGGGAGAUAACUGUACAACCUCCUAGCUUUCCCUGAGGUACGCAUGGCACUCUGCACAGCUGGAUCAAUACAAUCCAAAGUUACUGUACCAGUCACACCAAAAAAAAAAAAAAAAAAAAAAGGAAAAAAAAAAGAAUCAAGCAGCCUGCUGAAGCGAGAUACUGUACACUCCACAUGGUCAAUAACAAUCCAGGCUGUUUGCUGAUGGAGCAGGAGGGGAGAAAAAGCUCUCUGGUUUCCACUUGUGGCUCUGUGACGCCAGUAUGUUAGUUCAUGACAUGUGUGUGCUUGUGUCGCUUCAUCUCUCUGGUAUUUGAAGACUGAUACUGAAGCUGAUAUUUAUGUUUACUGCCUAUUGUUAUAUGGGAGUUUUUCUUUUCGCGUGCCAAAUAUUUUUGGAAAGAUUUCGAGUCAUGCGAGUUGAAAUGUCUGUUGUCAUUUUUAUAUUAGUGUUUCAGUGAUGACUUUUUUGUCAAUCUAAUCUGGUGAUUGUCUUGUAAUGAUUUGAUCCAUCAUGUGACAGAAAACAGUGAAGAAUAUCACCCUUACCUUUAAAUAACUUCUUUUGUCUCACCAAAAUCUGAAAAUAUUGAACCUACUAACAGAGAAAAGCUGCAAUAUUCAUGUUUGAGAAGUUGCAACAUAUAUUUAUGUGUUAGAUUUAAUACUAUCUAUAUAUAAAUAUAUCACUGUAGUAGCAUAAAGUGGACUACUCUAAAAGGCCAAAAUCGACAUGUGUCUGUAUUUGCGUGUGUUUUCUGACCUGUAAAAGGUGUGUGUUCGUGUAUGUGUGUGUGUGAGUUCUGCUGUGUCUGAUUCUCAGUCGGUGUGUUGGUCUGGUGUGUGUGUUGGUGUGUAGGCAGGUAGAGAUCAGAACAGAAAUCAGAUCAGAGUAGCAUUGCUGCAGAUCGUGUGAGAGCUUUUAACCACACCUCGGUGUCUGAACAUCACUUCUUUUCCUUUUUUAAAAUCACAUUUUAUUAUUGGCUCAUUAAUGCUGACGAUCGUGUGGAAUGAGAAGAAGAAGGUUGUUUGUGCUCUGACAGAUCUGUGGUUGUAACAGAUAUCAGACACAAAAGAGAGAGAAAAAAAAGAGUUUGAAACUGGAACACAAGGCCUCAGACAGCAGCAUCCCGGUCUGCUCACAGCCUGUAAAAUCAGUUGUCACCGCAAACAAUUAUUGUCAUAAUAUUUCCAAUCAGCAGACGCAGACUGCGUGGAAACUACUGCUGUCAAAAUAUGUGACAUGUGAAAUAUUGUGACACUCAGGGAGGAAAAGGAAAUCUACUGAAAAUGAACAAUUACAGCAAUGGACAGAUAAUUCUUCAGACAUGACAGCAGAAAUACUUGUUUGUUUCAUAUCGUGUCCAACUUUUGAAUCGUAUCAAAGCAGUUGAACUGAAGUCAAUCAGCAAAUAUUGAUUGGUCUCUUUCCUUCCACGUGUGUCCUCUGAUACCAGCUGACAUUCUGUGUCUUCUACUCUCUUGGUUAAAAAUAUAAUUGAAUGUUUGCUGUGAAUCUUCAGGGUGACGUGUGCCGAUGAAGCUCGGCUGGAGUUACAGUCAGUGCAGCAGCAGCAGCAUGUGUGCGUGUUUGCCUUCACGUGGUAUAUACUGAGAACAUACUGAGGCCUCCCAGUCUACCAGGACGUUUCUGUGUGUGUGUGUGUGCGUGCGUGUGUGUGUGCGUGUGUGUGUGUGUGUGUGUGUGUGUGUGUGUAGCUGAGGUAAUAGGUAGAGAAUAAAAGACUGCCCCCUGUUGGUUACCUCUGUGAAGUGCCCAGCUGUUGGUGCUUGAGGUUCAGACUUGGCAAAUGAUGGAAAAUAUGAAACAAGAUGUGAUUUGAUAGGAUAUAAAGCCAUUGUAAAGUGACAUGUACGCUCGUGUGGUGUUUGGAUGGAGUGUUUGUGCCUGCACAUGUGAGUGUUUGUGUGUGUGUGUGUGUGUGUGUGUGUGUGUGUGUGUGUGUGGCAUGAUGCAUUAAUCCGAUCCAGAGUAGAAAGUGAGAGCGUCCAGCUUUGUGGGGUUCUGUGCGGUCUGUCUUCUCCUCCGUUUCCCUCCUUCUUCUCUCUUCUCCUCUUUUUGUCUCUCCAUCGGACACAAACAUUGUUCUUUUUUUUACCAUCUGUCUCGACUUUGUUUUCUGUACUCUCCUCUCCCCCUUUUCAUUGUCUUAAAGAAUUUCUUAUUUUGAGGUCGACAAUUUCAGAUUCAUGUCUAAAAUUCACAGUUUUCAGUGUCCACGAAAAAAUACAAAUAUGACCUUUCAAUGCUAAUAACAACAGUUCUUGCAGAAUCGAGUCGUUGCCAUCCCUGUGCCAGCUUACUAGAACCAACCUUUAUUUUCCAUCAUCUCUGUUGCCAUAGCAAUGACCCCCAUGACCUCUACAACGCCUGUCCCCUUCAUCCCAUCAAUCAGAUGUGACAGCUGUCAAUCAAUCACCGUGGCCAACAGUGCUGCUGCUUCAGCCAUCGAGCGAGUGUGUCCUGCAUGUCACCCUGCACUGCUCACACACACACACACACACACACACAAAUACUCUCCCUCUCUCUCACACACACAGUGUCCACACUGUAUGUUUGUUUUCUACCUCUCUGGCUCUGCGGCCCAGUGCUGUGUGCUUAUUUGCAGUCCUGCUGCUGUUUUCUCGGAUGCGUGGGCUAGCGUGACAGAUCUGGGUCUCUCUUGAUGUACUACUUGGCUCGCUGGGGCUGAUUCCUGGCCAUUACCAGCACAUAACGAAUACUUGAAGAGAGUGAAAUGGGAUCAGUAAAUCAAUGGAUGAACUGUCAUUUACUUGAACGCGGCGUUUAGCUGCAUGUGGAUGGAGUUUUUCACAGAAGAUUAACCAAAGUAUUUAUAUUCCACAGCCAUGGAAACCACGUUCAGGAGUCUUUCCCCUGUUUGUGCACCGACCUACCUGUGUGCACAUGUAUGCUUCAGUAUUCGCAUGCGCACGCGCGCGUGUGUGUGAGAGAGCCUUUGUCUGCCUGCUCUCACCGUCAAAGCAUGCUAAUAUUAGCAAAGACUGGCUCUAUCUGGACACAAAGCAGGUGAUAAAUGAGGAUAGCUGCACUGUGUGUGUGUGUGUGUGUGUGUGUGUGUGUGUGUGUGUGCACGCAUUUGUGUGUCAACAGGGAGAUUUUAAAAUUGGUAACGUCAGUGUUUUUUUGCAGGGGGAGGAGGCGGUGAAGGGGGGCGAGCAUGCUGUAGAUCCAGAUGCACACUUUUCUCUGGCAACUGCAGCUGUAUAGAGAUAGAGAAGCGGCACAAUGCGCCGUCUGCCAGACAAACAGUCAGUCAAAGAGGACUGGAGAUUAGCCGAGGUGCAGACACAGUUGGUCGAUCAGUCAGUCAGGGAGGUAGAGAGCAGAAGAAAAGCAAGAGGGCAGUGUGGUCUCUCUUUUUUUCUUUCCCCCACCUUCACAGCCUCUCCAGGCCCCCGUCGCUGAUUUGAGCCUGCAAUGGGUUGUACGUCUUUCCCUCCUUCAUCCCUCCCUUUCUCUCUCUCGCUCUCUCUCUCCUUCUCUCUCUCUCUCUCUCUCUCUCUCUCUCUCUCUCUCUCUCUCCAUACCAAAGCCUGGGGGAGCUGUGGAGAUUAAAUGUAGCCUCUAUAAGCCAAAGCACAUCAUGUAGCAAUGUUUCUAUGGUCCCUUCUCUCUCUCUCUCUCUCUCUCUCUCUCUCUCUCUGACUCUCUCUCUCUUUCUCUCCCUCGCUCUCCCUCUCUCCGUCUCUCUGUCCGUCUCUGUCUUCCUCUGAAGGGACAGUGUGAAUGAUGUCGGCUUGUGUGAGACGCAGAGUGAGAGAAAAGAAAAAAGAGCAGAAAGAGAGUGCAAAGACUGGAGGAGUGGAUUUUUAUUUUUGCAUGCAGAAGAGAACGGAGGAUUUGUUUUAUGGGUGGAAAACGGACAACGGCAAGCAGGAAACGAGCUAGAAGAACAACGAGAAAAGGGGGCAUCCUGAAUCCGAAGGGGAGGGACCUCAGGUAGUGAUGACUGGAG